rnacentral:lncRNA from 1 species
AUAUCAUCUACAAAGAUGUAAAUAGCCACACAAACUAUAAAUGAUAAUAGAUCAUGUUAGAAACAACCUAUUCCUGUCAAUCUGUACUUAAAUGACAUGAACACAAUGGAGCAUUUGUUCUUGUAAGAACUGAAGUUUGAUCGCUGGCUCUCUAUUUAGCUGCAAACAAACAAAAAAAUAGUUUCAGGAUGCACCACACAUCACAUAAGCGUGCAUACACAACAACAUGAACAUCACAACAAAUAUACCAUCACCAAUUAUAUCAUUUGAGAUAGUUUCAAGAUACAUACAUGAAGAUAGCUAGGAUUUGCUGGAUGCUGAGCACACAUAGCUGGGUUUCUUGGCUAUUUCCUAGAAUCUGCAAAAGAAGAGCUAGGUUCAAAAAAUUGUUUUUCUCAUGUUUUAAAUGUAUUCAAACUAGUGUUUUUCUGUUUCAGAUGGAUGAUUGCAUACAUGGAUACCAGAUUGUUUUGGAUACCGAGGGGGAUAGUGAACAAGCAGUCGAUGCAGAAUUAUACUCAAGUCAACGAGGAGCUUACCUGCAACGGCAAGGCAAAUGACAAUUGAUUGAUUACUUCUCACACAAGACAGAAGUAAUAAAUAUGUGUCAGCAAUGGAACAUGUCACAUCUUGCUUUGGUUAUAGCAUGUGUAAAACCCUAUGAAAUUCUAAUAGUUUUGGAGAGUAAUAGGAGAAACACAAUAUUUAAGACAAGUGCAUGGGCAUGCGCAUCAGUAUAUAAAAUUGAAAAAUAUGGAUAUCUCCACUAAAAUCCAAAGUUACAGGUUAGAUUUGGAUUAUUAUAUACUUUCUAAGAAUUGGUUUAGAUGCUAAGGAUACCAAUUCCCACAAAUAUCUACUAAAUUUCUACAUUCUAAAUGUGUGAACCUAGUGGGAUAAUAUAAUAUCUUAGCUUGCAGAGGAUCCGAUGCUACUAUCGGAUUUAGCAAAAAUAAAGAUGAUGAAGAGAAGCUUUCAAGUAUUUAGUCUAUAGACCGUAGAACCCUCUGACUGAGCUAAUUAAGCUAAAGGAAAUAAACCAUAGAUAAGAAUACAGAAACAAUUAUGAAGAUAACUGCGCGUAUAUACUAAAUAGCUUCAUCUACAAGAAGCUCGCAGUGCAAGACAAAUACAAAAUUAUCCUUUAACCAGUAACAUUUUCUACUAGCACAGUGACCAACUUAGAUUACAAAAAUACAACUGAACUUUGCAUUAUCUAAUAAGGUAUUAAUAUAUAAUGGAUCUUUUUUUCCAUUCAAAAAUAAAAGGAGCGCUACUACCUGAAGGUUCUAAAAUUGUACUUGCAGAUGUUCUGGGAUCCUAACCUUACUUUCGUAUCCCUUGGAAUGUAUACAGUUCUAAAGAAAAUCACUCAUAUGUCCAAGGUUUGGAAACCAGAAAGUAUUCUUCAGUUAUAACUAUCCCCAAGAAAACAGUGUCAUCAUUAUAUUUAGGAAGUCGACAUGAUGGCAUUAAAUAGAAGAUACUCUACAAACAAACAGAAGUCAUGGGAAUUUUACAACCUUGCACUUAAUGUCCUGAGCUCUACAUGAAAGAAGCGACUACAAAAGGCUAUAAAAUUCUGAAUUUGUAGAGCCAGGGAGCUCUCAAACAGUUCACAGCUAGUAUGUAGCUUAAAACUUCAAAUGAACAUCCCGUGUGUUUGCACUACUUCUAAUUAGUUCCUAUAAAUCCACACUAUCAUCCGAAUCCAACUAUCUAGUUGAACGCCUCAUUUGGCAAAAUAACUAACUCACGCUCAAGGCAAGGCAAUGCACACACCAAUUCUCCGCAAUGGCAACAGCGAUUUGUGCAGAAGUGUAACAUUGUACUGAAUCUGAGACCCUUAUACUGGUCGUCCAUCAAAGAAAAAUGCGAGAAGUACUAGACAAGUGCAGCAGCACCUAGGCGGCUGGGGCGUCACGGCUUCAUGGCCGGUGCGG